UCCUGACUGAGAUAGUUCAGUCAGUAGAGAGUGAGACUCUUAAUCCCAGGGUUGUGGGUUUGAGUCCCGUGUUGGGCA